GAUGAAGAACGUAGUGAAAUGCGAUAAGUAGUGUGAAUUGCAGAAUUCAGUGAAUCAUCGAAUCUUUGAACGCACAUUGCGCCCGCCAGUAUUCUGGCGGGCAUGCCUGUUCGAGCGUCAUUUCAACCAUCAAGCCCCCGGCUUGUGUUGGGGACCUGCGGCUGCCGCAGGCCCUGAAAACCAGUGGCGGGCUCGCUAGUCACUCCGAGCGUAGUAAUACAUCUCGCUCAGGGCGUGCUGCGGGUUCCGGCCGUUAAAAAGCCUUAUUUACCCAAGGUUGACCUCGGAUCAGGUAGGAAGACCCGCUGAACUUAAGCAUAUCAAUAGCGGAGGA
rnacentral:misc_RNA from 1 species